CUCGCACUCGCACUCGCACGCUCGCGCGCGCGUGGCGUGGGCGAUGAGGCGCAAUGUGGCGCUUUGAUGGCGCACUUUGUAUUUUUUACCGCGCGCGCGUGGUGAAGCACAAGGGUUGCAAGGACCAAGUGGUAGGUGAUGCGGCGCAUGACGUGGCAGUCAUGCGCAUGCGCGCGCGGGUACACGAGGCGCGCGGUUGGGAGCAUGGUGCAUGGGUCCUACUGUGCCGUGUGCGGCGCACCAGAGUGAGCCAAUACGGCGCGACUGUGUGGCGCGCACGUAUAGACUCACAGGUGACGUGGCGCACGCCGCACCGCCGCAUGGACGGACUUGAGCUGCACCGCCGCACGGCGCACGGCAGUGAGCCAAGAGGCCGCACGCCGCACGGCAGUGAGCCAAGAGGCCGCACGCCGCAUGGCGCACCACGCAUGGGCGCGCGCGCGC
rnacentral:lncRNA from 1 species